UACGUAGGGUGCAAGCGUUGUCCGGAAUUAUUGGGCGUAAAGAGCUCGUAGGCGGUCUGUCGCGUCGGAUGUGAAAAUCCAGGGCUCAACCCUGGACCUGCAUUCGAUACGGGCAGACUAGAGUUCGGCAGGGGAGACUGGAAUUCCUGGUGUAGCGGUGAAAUGCGCAGAUAUCAGGAGGAACACCGGUGGCGAAGGCGGGUCCCUGGACAACACCUGACACUGAGGCACGAAAGCUAGGGGAGCAAACAGG
rnacentral:rRNA from 1 species